GACGAACGCUGGCGGCGUGCUUAACACAUGCAAGUCGAACGGAAAGGCCCUGCUUUUGUGGGGUGCUCGAGUGGCGAACGGGUGAGUAACACGUGAGUAACCUGCCCUUGACUUUGGGAUAACUUCAGGAAACUGGGGCUAAUACCGGAUAGGAGCUCCUGCUGCAUGGUGGGGGUUGGAAAGUUUCGGCGGUUGGGGAUGGACUCGCGGCUUAUCAGCUUGUUGGUGGGGUAGUGGCUUACCAAGGUUUUGACGGGUAGCCGGCCUGAGAGGGUGACCGGCCACAUUGGGACUGAGAGACGGCCCAGACUCCUACGGGAGGCAGCAGUGGGGAAUAUUGCACAAUGAGCGGAAGCCUGAUGCAGCAACGCCGCGUGCGGGAUGACGGCCUUCGGGUUGUAAACCGCUUUCGCCUGUGACGAAGCGUGAGUGACGGUAAUGGGUAAAGAAGCACCGGCUAACUACGUG
rnacentral:rRNA from 1 species